rnacentral:lncRNA from 1 species
UAAAUUCGUAAUUACAAAAAUAACCAAAAAUACAAAACACGUUAAACUAAAAACUGCAGGUCCGUAGUUGACAGCACGCGCCCACGCCUUAUCAACAAAGUUCUUCUGACGCUCAUAAUUUCUCCAAGAGAACAAUCAUCCUUAAACAUCAUCUUGUCCCUCAAUUUUAGCAUCAAUCAAUAGAAUUGCACCUACAAAAAUAAAACACAAGUAAAUCACUAUUAUUAAGUGCAAAACAUCGAUAUUAAGGGAAGUAAACAAUACAAAACUAGUGCAUAAAUUGCACUCUAACAAAUUCCCCACACCAAGAUGAUGCUUGUGCUCAAGCAUAUAACUCAGGACUAAUCCCAAAUCUCCACUCAAUUCUCAUCUCAACUCAUCCAAAAAUAAUCUUAAGCAAGCAUACCUCAAGAAUUUAAGUCGAUCAACAUUCGAGAGACAAGGAUUUUAAAGCAUAUGAUCUCAUAAACUAAUAUAAAAAAAAACAUUCAACCACCAAGAAGAUCCAUUCAAAAUUCAAGUGCAACAAGAUUUAAUAGCCCUCUUAAUGACUUCACUCCAUGCACUCAAAGUGUUCAAGGUAUCAUUUAUGCACUCAAAUCAAAUCAAAGAAUGCUAUUACAAUAAGCUUGCUCAUAUAUCACAUCUCAAUCCACAAAACAUGAAUUAAAUGCAAAAAUCUAAGGGUCUUAAAAAGGUUGUAACGAGGUUAAAUGAAAAAGAAAGGUCUAUGAAAGAAAAAGAGAUCAAAAUGAGAAGAAUGAAUUCAUUGAACAAACUUUAUGAUAUUGAAACACUUAUUUCUACUCAAGUCACCAAGAAUGUAAACACAUUUUUUUUCUUUUCUUUUUUUUUUGAUUUUUUUUUGAUUUUUUUGGUUUUUUUUUUAAUUUUUUUUAAUCAAACAAAAGAAAUGAACCUUGCACAAUUUAAUUCAAGCAUAAUGCUUGUUGAUCUAAUUGAGAAACUUUAAUUCAAGGUAGCAAGAGCAACAAAAUAUAUCCAAACAAUGAGUCCAAAAAUCUCCUUAAAUUGAGGCUCAAAAAGAAGAAAAAUGGGUAAAUAGAGGGAGAGAAUUGAAUGAGUAAUGGUUGAGGCUCAAACAAAGAUAGUAAAUAAAGAUCUUCGGGUAGAGAAAAAAAAAGAAAAAUGCGAGAAUAGAAAGAUGGGAAAUGGGUUGCCCUUAUCAUUUUAAUGCAUAAAAUCUCGUAAUGCGGCUUCAACAUGCAUAAUAAAGCAAGUUCUAGAAUAAACAAACUAAGAUUGAUAUUCAUAUAACAAAAAUAAUUAGAACAAAGUGGUUGCUCAUAGGGUCAAAUCCUCACAAAGUUGGUAAAUUUGCCAUCAAAUCAUGUACACUCUUCAAAUGAAUCAACCAUCAAUAGUGGUGUAGAAUGAGAAGAAGGUAGGAGUGAUGUUGUGCAAAUUUUAAUGUACUCGCAAGCGCACGAAUCUAUUGUAGUAUAAACUAAUGGUGACGAGUGUCGAUCCCACGAGGAGGUAGAUUUUAAUUGUGUAGAAUUAAUUUUGUAAAUGGGUGAUUGGAUUUGUGGUGGAAAUGAUUUGGGAUAUGCUAAAACUUAAAUUAAAAUGGCGAGAAUAAAUUCUAAAAUUGGAAUUGAAAUGGCGAGAAUAAAUUGAAGAGAAUUCUAUUAAAAUGACGUACUUGGGUAUCUGGAUCCGUAUCAACAUGCAUCAUGGGCUAAAUAAUCCGUAUUAACGCCAAUUAAAUCAUGAGGGGGGAAUCCACACCUCAUGAACCACGCUCUAAUCAAUAUGGUGCUAAGGGCUUAUCGUGCCAAAUAAUAAUAACCUUAUACUAGAGAGCCGGUGUAACCAAAGCGGUAUCUAGACAAGAUUAUUAUUAUUUGUCGACGAGAAGUCAAAACAUCCACAAAAACUAGAGGGGAAGAGAAAAUAAAUUUACCAAAUUAAGCCCAUGACACAUGUUGAGACUUCACCUUCAACCCAAGCUUGAAAGAAAAUUAGCCACUCAUAAUUGAACUAAGGGCAAAAUGAGAAUUUAUUAAAAUACGAAGAAAAUACAAGAUGGAGAAGGAAUUAUAGAAAAUGGAUCCCAAAAAUGGAUUCAGAGAUAUCAAAUUAGGGGGGGGAGGCCCCCUUUUUAUAAAUACAUGGAGUAAAUCAUGGCCAUCGGAUUAAAAACAGUUUGGACGCUCAGGAUUGCGCCACGUCAUCAGUCAACAGUACGCGGUUUGACCACGCAGAUGAACAGUAACACGGUUUGACCCGGAUGAACAGUAAUGCGGUUUGACCCGGAUGAACAGUAACGCAGUUUGGUUGAAAAUAAUCCUGUGUGAUGCAUGUACCGUACGUGAGAUUUUUCAUCCACUGAUAUGCUGCCACGUCACCAUCAACAAUACAUAAGAAUUUUAGCUCAACAGGAUCGUGACACCUCAUCAGUCAAUGCCACAUCAUCGGUCAAUGCCAUGUCAUCGUCCGUCUAUGUGAACAGUGUCGUGAAUAGUAACGUAAACAGUAUCGUACAUGUGAAUAGUACCGUACAUGUGAACAGUGCCAUUUUUCCUUUUAUGCUCCUCCUAAGGUUUUCGACCGUGCUGAGUUCAAACGUGAUGUCCGUUUUGCCAUCUGAUCUCUCGUUUAUUGUGAAAUGACUAUGAUGCCCCUAAAAUACAUAAAAUACUUAAUUAAAAUAAAACACACGGAAUUAAUUCAAAAGAAGGUUAAAUUCAUAAAAGUAAAAGUGUUAGUAAAACUUGUAGUGUAAAAUGACGAUUUUCUCCUUUAUAAAUAUACAUUUUCUAACACUCAACACACUCCCCAACCAGCUUAUUGCUAGUCCCUUUAUAAAUAUACAUUUUCAAAACCAAAAUGAUUUUAUUUUAUUUAGAAACACUCGUGUUUAUUCAAUCAGAUUAAUAAUAGCAAUCAAAUAAAAGUAUAAGUAUUAUCUCCAGUCUAAAGUAACAUCACACCCACAUCAACCAUCCACAUGAAUCAGUCCAGUAGACUUUGUCAUAGCUACUUGCAAGAAUGACAUGUCAAACCCCAAAAUCUCACUGGAAGUAGUGACAUUCUCACAAAGAAAUUAAAACCAAUAAAAAUAGUCACUCCAAUGAAUGGUAAUUGAGAGAGAAAAUAAUAAAGAAGUGAUAUCACAUGCUCUCACCAAGAUGAAAUAAAUAUGCCCUCAGCUUAUAAAUAAUACGAACUCAAGUUAAACAAAAAUGCUAGUCAACCCACUUUAUUUAUCUUCUUUUUUUUUAUUAUGCAUCACUACAUCUUUUUAGCCCAUAUAACUAGCUUCUACUUCAAACUAUAGUUCCCUAAAAUCAAGAAGGACUUUUAUUAGGACGUAACGUAGGCUAGGGACAUGGCUAACAAAGAAGGAAAAUAAGGAAAACAAAGUGUAUGUUUGAGAAAAAUGCAGAGAAUUUUUUUUUUUUUGGAAGUUGCAAGGUGGAUUUCACCUAUUAUUUUUAUUUUUAUUCUUUUGAAACAACAACUUUUGUUUUUUUUUUCUCUUUUUUUUUGGCAUAACUUCACUGAACAAAAUAAUUAUUUACAUUUUUCUCAAACAUAAAUAGGUGAUGGAACUUAUAAGACAUCGGGUAAUACUCCAAAUCGGAGUGGGUCAAGAUGAUAAGUUGACAAAGAAAAGGUUUUUUUUUUUUUUUAAAGGCUCAAAAGGGUUAACUAUGGAUAUUUAAUAAAAGGGAUGGCUAGAAAGGCUUAAACGGAUCAAAGAUGGCCUUUCCAUCGUCUUUUAGGGCUCUAAAUAAUCAUCCAUAUCUACUAGUUAGAUGGGACUCCCAAUGUAACAACACACAUUUUUUUCUCUUUUUUUUUAUUUUACAAUUUUUUUAAGGGUUAACUCAAAAGCAAUUUAGAGAUCGUGUGUAAAAUAAUAAACUGCUAAGCUGUAUAAAGAGUGGGUAAAAGGGUUAUUCUCCAAGAAAAAUAAUAGGCUCAAAAACUCACUUGGUACUUAUUAUGACAUGUUCAUUCCUUCAAGCAACUCAUAUUUGUCUUCGACAUCAACAUGUAGAGUAGCAAACAUAAUGUAACAUCACUUAAGACCAAAAAUAAUACAAAUACUAAAAUUUGAAAUUAAUCAUAUCAUCCAAUGUUAAAACAAAUCACACAAUUUUUUUUUAAACAACAUUCUACCCCCCAACCUAUUCUAAACAUGAAAGGAAAAUAUGCAUGCAGAAAUGUGAAAAUGAUGCAUAAAAACUAAUUAGAAAAGUUACACGUAAAAUGAUAGAAAACGAAAAUGUUUUUUUUUUUAAAAAAAGAUGCGUUUCUAGAGGAACUACACUCCAUAUUCAGCCAUCUUCGACUCACAAGUUGGAAAAUGUAUAUUGAUAGAGGAGAAAUUAAAAAGAAGAAAAAUAAACAUAAAAACAUAAUAAAGAAAAAGAAAAUGUCUGAAAUUUUUUUUUAGUUUUUUAAUUUUUUUUUUUACGAUGAAGAUGCGUUUCUAGAGUCACUACACUCCAUAUUCAGCCAUCUUCGACACAAAAAGUUAGCAACAGUUAGUUUCUACAACAAAAAUUAGUAAAAACUUAACCAAAAUUCCACAAUUGUCGACUAUUCCCUCCCCCCAACUAGAACGAAACAUUGUCCUCAAUGUUUGAAAGGAAAGAAGUAGAGUUUAGAAGAUAUCACCUGGGUGGUGCAACACAGAAAACAAUAUUUACAAGCGGAGAGUUAAAUCUAAUUUGUACUUCUUACUGCGGCUACUGUUACCAUCAUUAUUUGGGCGCUCCAACACAAAGGUCCAGGGGUCUGGCUUCGGUUUAUAAGCUUGUAACAGAUCAAGUAGCUCAUUAGCAGUGUGAGCACAAAUAAAAAGUUUUUUCACAUUAGAAGGAAUGAAAUAGUUUUUUAUUGCAUGGUUAAGAAAUGCGAUAAAGCCAUCAUAAAAGUUAUUGACAUUUAACAAAUCGAUGGGUUUUUAGUGGAUGUGCAGAUGGGCCCAAGAUGCUAGCGUGAUAAGUGCCUCUAGUGUUGCAAGAUCUCCUGGAAGAAAAAUAAAAUCAUCAGCAUGAUUAAGUAUUUCAGUUAUUCUUUCUUGCAUACCUGAGACGACUAACUCUUCUCCAGUUGAUGAGUCAGACGAACUGCCCAAUGGUUUUAAGACUCUUGGGAUGAUUCCUAACACUUGACUUCCUCUGAUAAAAGCUGCUUCUGAGACCAUUUUUGAUAACCCUCGGUUACCUCCUCCAUACACCAAGUGUAAUUUUCUCGCUGCUAUGCUUCGACCAAGAUCUAUAGCUGCCUCAACGAACUCUUUAUGUUUGCCAUAUGUAAAUCCAGAAAGCACACAAAUGUUCUUGAAUUGUCUAUUGGGAGUAGCUGACAUUGUGAUACUUCUCAAAAACAAUUUGUGAGUGCUUGACAAAAAAGAAAUCACAUUUAAGAGUCUCGGUGAUAGUGGGUCAUGGUUGUGUAUGAGGUAAUAUGUCAGUGUCAAAUAACGCGUAAAGCACGUGGCUCGCGCGAGUCAAAAAGGAAACAGUAAAAAAGAAAAAGUAAACAGUAAUAAGAAAAAAACAAACAGUAAUAAAAUUAUUAAAGACAAUAAUACACAUAAUAAACAAAAAUAACAGUAAAGUAAAAGGAUAUUUACAGGUAGUUGCGACUGUGGCUCACAUCUUCCUUUGGUUUUACGUCCAGAAACGGCUUAAACGCCCUCUAUGGGUCGAGGAUAGGCUUCCUAUCCAAUUUUCUUAUAAACUGGCAAACAUGGUCGUUUAUAGUCAGAUUCCCAAGACUAUAUCGUGCAUGCUCUUUCUGGAAUAAUGGCCAUAACUAGAGAAUCGCUCCUUGCAUAUAUCCACUGGGAUGCGUUUCAAGAGACAAAAGGAUAUCAUCCAAUGACUCCUUAUUCAAGCCAUCCCUAAUGAAUUGAAUCUUAUCUUCCCUGUUAUCAGACACCAUUCCUAAAGAACAUGGGUUUUUAUUGCACACUUAUGACAAGCAACAGAAAUUCUUCGAGCUCGUCGUUUUCUUGCAUAAUUUCCUUUACCACAAUCAGGCAUGUAUGCAAUAAAUUUUGGAGGUAACUCACCUACCGAUCGUACUUUAGCCUCGAUUAACCAACGAAUGUCAGCAGGUAUGUUAUUCCUCAUGAGUAAUCGCAUGCGUUCGGACCGAGCUUUAUAGAUCGUAAGGAGGGCAUUCUGAGGAAGUGAAGGGAAUCGCUUGUGAAGCUUCGCUAGAAUCUCAUUUCUGUCCAUACCUUCGCCUCAGAAUAUCAGUUAUUAUGGGAAACUGAAGUAACCGACUUGAUUGUCACGGAGUACCGUUAUCCGCCACUUCACCGGGGUAACAAACUAAAACACACAAAUAGAAAAACAAAUUAAAACACACAAAGAAAAUUAAAAUCGUCCUCUUAUUGAAUUUACCUCAAGCUCCAACUGGAUGUCGUAAACACUUCUCUCAAUGUCUCUGAGUUGGCGUUCUAAACCCUCAACAUAGGCUACUAACUCUGGUGAUUGUAGAGCCCAAAUGCGUUGUGUUUUACAAAAUUGAAUCUGCCUUUUGAGAUGAGUUUUGACACGUUGAAGUGGUUUAAGAAUGUUCAGGAGGAACGGUCUAAGUAUGAGACUCAUGAUUAAAAAUGAUAAGAGAAAACAAUUUCAAUUAGCAAAAGAAUAAUAAUAAAAAGAAAGAAAGAAAAAUCAAAUCAACGAAAAGAAAAAAAAAUCAAUUCAAAUUUGGUGGGUCACUCAAAUUUAUUUCGGUGUCUUUGUCAUGUGGUUGGUACUCUAGAUAUGGCUUUAAUCUUUGACCAUUAACUUUAAACGUGACACCGUUCUUUAGGUCCUUAAUUUCAAUUGCCCCAUGUGGAAAAACAGUAUGAACAAUAAAGGGACCAGACCAACGAGAGCGUAACUUACCUAGGAAUAGGUGCAAGCGAGAAUUGAAUAAAAGUACUUUCUGACCUGGAGUGAACGAUUUUCUCAUAAUUUGCUUAUCAUGGAAGAUUUCAUUCGUUGCUUGUAAAUCUUGGCAUUUUCAUAUGAAUCAUUGCGAAUUUCUUCAAGUUCUGCCAGCUGUAAUCUUCUUUCUGAGCUGGCUUGCUGCAUGUCAAAAUUGAAUUUCUUGAUGGCCCAAUAUGCACGAUGCUCGAGUUCCACAGGUAGGUGGCAAGCUUUUCCAUACACUAGCCUGUAGGGUGACAUCCCAAUCGGGGUCUUGAAAGCCGUUCUAUAUGCCCAUAAGGCAUCAUCAAGUCUUAAUGACCAAUCUUUUCUGUCCGGCUUCACCGUCUUUUCUAAUAUGUGCUUUAUUUCUCGAUUGGAGAUCUCAACUUGGCCACUGGUUUGCGGAUGAUACGGGGUCGCCACUUUGUGUGUGAUUGAAUACUUUGUCAAAAGAGCUUUGAAUGCUUUGUUACAAAAGUGGGCACCACCAUCACUGAUUAUUGCUCGAGGGAAUCCAAAGCAUGAAACAAUGUUGCUCUUAAAAAAUGCUAUCACCACCUUGUGAUCAUUGGUUCUACAUGGAAUUGCUUCUACCCAUUUCGAUACGUAGUCAACACCAACCAAUAUGUAUUGAUGGCCAAAAGAAGGGGGAAAGGGUCCCAUGAAGUCGAUACCCCAUACAUUAAAAAUCUCAACCACUAAAAUUAGAUUUAGUGGCAUCAUGUUCCUCCGUGUAAUGCUCCCCAUUCGUUGACACCUAUCACAUGAAGAACAGAAAGUGUAAGCGUCUCGAAAUAUAGAUGGCCAAUAGAAACUACAUUAUAAAACUUUAGUCGCUGUUUUCUUAGCACUGAAAUGGCCUCAAGCUUAUUCAUGGCAGAAUAAAAGAAUAUUCUGAAUUUUAUUUUCUGGGACACAUCGUCUAACAAUUUGGUCUGCACAAUACUCGAACAAAUAAAGUUCAUCCCAAAAGAAAUUCUUUAUCUCUGCAAAGAAUUUAGCCUUAUCUUGCUUGGUCCAAUGCUCUGGAAGUUUACCUGUAACAAGAUAAUUAACUAUAUCAGCAUACCAAGGUAAUACUUCCACACUCAUUAAUUGUUCAUCUGGAAAUGACUCAUUCAAUAUUAAUGGCUCUGUAAUUGUGUCAAAAUGGAGACGAGAGAGGUGGUCCGCCACAACAUUUUCUGUCCCUUUCUUAUCUUUGAAUUCCAAGUCAAAUUCCUACAAAAGUAACACCCAACGAAUUAGUCUGGCUUUUGCAUCUUUCUUUGUAAGAAGAUAUUUAAGAGCAGCAUGAUCCGUGAAUAUAAUUAUUUUACAACUAAUGAGAUAUGAUCGAAAUUUCUCUAAUGCAAACACUACUGCUAGCAUUUCUUUUUUAGUAGUUGAAUAGUUCAACUGUGCAUCAUUCAAUGUUAUACUAGCAUAGUAAAUAACGUGGAGAAUUCGAUCAACUCUUUGUCCUAAUACUGCUCCUACUGCAUAAUCAGAUGCAUCACACAUUAGCUCAAAUGGUAAGCUCCAGUUUGGGGCCUGAAUGAUGGGUGAUGAUGUCAACAACUGUUUUAAUUUUUCAAACGCCAUAAGACAUGAAUCAUUAAAGAUAAAAGGUACAUCCUUAGCAAGUAAAUUGCAUAAGGGUCUAGAAACUUUGCUAAAAUCUUUAAUGAAACGUCUAUAGAAACCAGCAUGCCCAAGGAAAGAUCUUACUUCUCUGACUGUUUUAGGUGGAGAAAGAUUAGAAAUGAGAUCCACCUUUGCUUUGUCAACCUCAAUACCUUUGCUCGAAAUGAUGUGACCGAGAACAAUACCUUGUUUUACCAUAAAAUGACAUUUCUCCCAAUUUAAGACCAAGUUCUUCUCGAUACAUCUCUGCAGAACUAGUGUUAGAUGAUGUAAGCAUUGAUCAAACGAGUCACUAAAGACAGAAAAAUCAUCUAUAAAGACUUCAAGGAAUCGUUCAACCAUAUCAGAAAAAAUGCUCAACAUGCAUCGUUGAAAUGUAGCAGGUGUAUUACAUAAUCCAAAUGACAUUCUCCUAUAUGCAAAUGUGCCAAAAGGGCAAGUGAAAGUAGUUUUCUCUUGAUCUUUUGGUGCUAUGGGUAUCUGAUUGUAUCCUGAGUAGCCAUCUAGAAAGCAAUAAAAUUCAUGGCCUGCUAAUCUAUCAAGCAUUUGAUCGAUAAAUGGUAAAAGAAAAUGGUCUUUACGUGUGACAGAAUUCAACUAUCUGUAAUCAAUGCAUACACGCCAUCCUGUAGUUACUCUAGUGGGUAUCAAUUCAUUAUUGGCAUUGGUAACUACAGUAACUCCUGAAUUUUUGGGGACAACUUGCACAGGACUGACCCAUGAAUUAUCAGAAAUGGGGUAAAUGAUACCUGCGUCUAAUAGCUUAAGGAUUUCUGUUCUAACAACUUCUUUCAUGUUAGGAUUUAACUGACGUUGCAUCUCCCUAGUAGUUUUAGCAUUUUCAUCAAGGUGAAUGUAAUGCAUGCAGUCUACUGGAUUUAUACUUUUUAUGUCUGCUAUGGUCCAUCCUAAUGCUCCUUUGUGCUCUUUUAAAACAUCCAACAACUUACCGUUUUGUUCGUCAUUUAGGGAUGAUGAGAUAAUUACCAGCAGAGUACUUUCUUUUCCCAAAAAUGCAUAUUCCAGAGUGUUGGGUAAUGAUUUGAGCUCAAGUUUCGGUGGUGAUUCUGAUGAUGGGAUGAGUUUCUUCUCUGAUGGUGCUAGUUGCUCAACUCUUAACUUCCAUUUAUUAGCAUCCAUGGAUAGUGCUGAGUCAAGCAGGGCGUUGACCUCAUCAACCGAUCUGUCAAUAUCAAAAUCAAAACCAAAGUGAGUUAAACAUGUUUGUAAAGGAUCAUCACUAAGGUUUGAAACAAAAGUAUCAUCAACUAAUGUUUCAAUUAAAUCCACAUCAACAAUUCCAUCAUCUGCACUGUGAGGUUGUUUGGCAAUGUUGAAGAUGUUCAGCUCCAUAGUCAUGUUGCCGAAGGACAACUGCAUAUUUCCGGUCCUGCAUUGAAUGUGAGCAUCCGCAGUUGCCAAGAAAGGUCGGCCUAGAAUAAUGGGGAUGUGCUUCCUUGAAUCCUGUAUUGGUUGAGUGUCAAUUACAAUGAAAUCAACAAGAAAAUAGAACUUGUCUACCUGGAUAAGCACGUCCUCCACAAUACCACGAGGUAUUUUCGUGGACCGAUCUGCAAGCUGUAACACCACUGGAGUUGGGUGUAAUUCUCCCAGUCCAAGUUUCACGAAUACAGAGUAAGGUAAAAGAUUUACACUAGCUCCUAAAUCCAACAAAGCAUUCUCAAUUGUGUGGUUCCCUAUGCUACAUGAAAUAGUAGGGGAGCCUGGGUCUUUGCAUUUUAAAGGAAUUUUAUGUUGGAGGAUAGAACUAACGUUUUCUGUUAAAAAUGCCUUCUUUUGAACAUGCAUGUUUCUCUUUUUAGUACAAAGGUCUUUAAGAAACUUGGCAUAAGAUGGAACUUAUUUAAUAGCAUCAAGUAAAGGGAUGUUAACACUUACCUGUUUGAAGAUUUCAAGAAUCUCACCUGUGGAUUUUCCCUUCUUGCCUUUAGCUAACCUCUGGGGGAAUGGAGCUUUGGGAACGUAUUCUCGUGGGUUGGUUUCUUCUUUCUCCUCCGGUGAUGAGUCGUCAACAUUUAUAGGUACAAUUUGAUUUUUUUUUUUCGCCGGCAUCUCCACUUUGUUGUCGACUUCUUUUCCUUUUCGUAAGGUCAUGACUGCUUUGACCUCUCCAUGCUGCUGUGGUGAACUAGUACUUGCUUCAUGCACUCCUUUAGGGUUAGGCACUGGUUGACUUGGAAACUUGCCUUUCUCAACAGUCAUUGCCAAGGUCUGAACUGAAGAAGCAAGUUGUCCCACCAUCUUCUCGAGGCUUGAAACUGAUUGAGCUUGUGAGUUGAAGCCUGCUCUCAACUCAUUUCGUAGUCCAUCAAUGGUGCGGUUCUGUUGCUCAAUCGUGGAGUGAGUAACAUUCCUGAAAUUCUAGAAUGCAUCCUCCCAUGGUCUAGGUUGAGAGUGGUUCUGGUUCUGAUUGUAUGGUCUAAAUGGUGGUUGAGAGGCUUGAGGAUUUUGUGGAAUUGGUGGAGCUGGAGCUGCUGGUCCGUUCUGUUGGAAUCCUUGAGACCAUGAAAAAUUGGGGUGGUCUCUCCAUCCAGGGUUAUAUGUGUUGGAGUAUGGGUUGUAAUUCGAUGGUUUUCUCAUUACACCUAUAGCAUUGGCUUGAUCUGAGUAUGAGUCAUGGUCAUGUGGCUCUGUUGAUUUAGCAGUCGAUAAUGAUGCUAUUUGUCGAGAGAGACCUUCAAUUAUCGCUUUGACUUCUUUAAUUUCUGAACUUGAUUCGCCAAUGUGAACCUCAUUUACUCCCUUAAUUCUUCUAGUAUUCCUGAGUGAUCGACUCCGUUGUUGGAAAUUAUCCGCUUGUCGCUGGAAGAAUUCCCAAAUCUCUAAUGCACUUUUUGACAUUAGCUCUCCUCCACUUGUUGCCAUUCGCCAUUCUUGCACAUUCGGCAAUAAUCUCUCAAAAACGUAUUGGCAUUGGUGCCAUUUCUCGUACCCAUGAUGUAGACACUUCAAGAGUAGCCCAUUGAAUUGCUCCCAAGUUUCGAAAAAUUGUUCGUCUUCUCUCUGAGUAAACUCUGAGAUUUCCCUGCGAAUAGCAUUGGUUUUAUGCACUGGGAAAUAUUUAUUCAAAAAUUUCGUUACCAUUUGUUCCCAUGAUGUGAUGCUAUUAGCAGGCAAAGUAUUUAACCAUGAACGAGCUCUAUCCUUUAAAGAAAAUGGGAAUAAUCUGAGUUUAACAUCAUCGUCUGAAAAAUUUUCAUAUUUAAAAGUUUGACAAAUGGCAUGAAAAUCAUUCAGAUGAUUAUAUGGAUCCUCAUUUUCUAGGCCAUAAAAUGUGGGGAGACAAUUUAGCACACUAGGUUUUAGUUCAAAGCUCCUAGCAGCUACAUUAGGGUAUCUUAUGCAUGAUGUGCUCAAAUUAGCUAAAGGACUGAAGUAGUCCUUAAAUGGCCUCUCCUGUGGUUGCAAAUCCAUUUUAUUUUUAAUUUGUUUGUGUGUGCGAAGUGUUUUUUCUAGUUCAAGGUCUAUAGUGCGAAGUGUUUUUUCUAGUUCAAGGUCUAUAGGUUCAAGAUUAGGUAAUAAUGACCUACGACCAUGCAUGCAAAACAAAUAAAAUGAAAAUAAAGAUGGGAACAAAACAAAUAAAAAUAAAUAAGAGGGAGAAAUUAUGAUACUAACCUUAUUGCGCUAUUAAAACCUUUCUAUAAAAAUACACAAAAACAAAUACGUGAAAUAAAUUAACUAAAAAUUAAAUUAAUAAAAUAAAAAAAAUACAAAGAAAAAUAAAUUAAAAAUUAAAUCACAGAAUUUUAAAGAAGAGAAAAAGAAAAGAAAUACUAACCUUUAAAUGUAGAUUCACUUUUUUUUUUAAUUAAAAAAAUAGAAGAAAACAAAUAAAAGAAAUUAUUAAAAAAAAUUUAAUUCUAUGAAUUAAAAUUACUUACCUCCCCGGCAACGGCGCCAAAAACUUGUUGUGCAAAUUUUAAUGUACUCGCAAGCGCACGAAUCUAUUGUAGUAUAAACUAAUGGUGACGAGUGUCGAUCCCACGAGGAGGUGGAUUUUAAUUGUGUAGAAUUAAUUUUGUAAAUGGGUGAUUGGAUUUGUGGUGGAAAUGAUUUGGGAUAUGCUAAAACUUAAAUUAAAAUGGCGAGAAUAAAUUCUAAAAUUGGAAUUGAAAUGGCGAGAAUAAAUUAAAGAGAAUUCUAUUAAAAUGACGUACUUGGGUAUCUGGAUCCGUAUCAACAUGCAUCAUGGGCUAAAUAAUCCGUAUUAACGCCAAUUAAAUCAUGAGGGGGGAAUCCACACCUCAUGAACCACACUCUAAUCAAUAUGGUGCUAAGGGCUUAUCGUGCCAAAUAAUAAUAACCUUAUACUAGAGACCCGGUGUAACCAAGGCGGUAUCUAGACAAGAUUAUUAUUAUUUGUCGACGAGAAGUCAAAACAUCCACAAAAACUAGAGGGGAAGAGAAAAUAAAUUUACCAAAUUAAGCCCAUGACACAUGUUGAGACUUCACCUUCAACCCAAGCUUGAAAGAAAAUUAGCCACUCAUAAUUGAACUAGGGGCAAAAUGAAAAUUUAUUAAAAUACGAAGAAAAUACAAGAUGGAGAAGGAAUUAUAGAAAAUGGAUUCCAAAAAUGGAUUCAGAGAUAUCAAAUUAGGGGGGAGGCCCCCUUUUUAUAGAUACAUGGAGUAAAUCAUGGCCAUCGGAUUAAAAACAGUUUGGACGCUCAAGAUUGCGCCACGUCAUCAGUCAACAGUACGCGGUUUGACCACGCGGAUGAACAGUAACACGGUUUGACCCGGAUGAACAGUAAUGCGGUUUGGUUGAAAAUAAUCCUGUGUGAUGCAUGUACCGUACGUGAGAUUUUUCAUCCACUGAUAUGCUGCCACGUCACCAUCAACAAUACAUAAGAAUUUUAGCUCAACAGGAUCGUGACACCUCAUCAGUCAAUGCCACAUCAUCGGUCAAUGCCAUGUCAUCGUCCGUCUAUGUGAACAGUGUCGUGAACAGUAACGUGAACAGUACCGCACAUGUGAACAAUGCCAUUUUUCCUUUUAUGCUCCUCCUAAGGUUUUCGACCGUCCUGAGUUCAAAAGUGAUGUCCGUUUUGCCAUCUGAUCUCUCGUUUAUUGUGAAAUGACUAUGAUGCCCCUAAAAUACUUAAAAUACUUAAUUAAAAUAAAACACAUGGAAUUAAAUCAAAAGAAGGUUAAAUUCAUAAAAGUAAAAGUGUUAGUAAAACUUGUAGUGUAAAAUGAUGAUUUUCUCCUUUAUAAAUAUACAUUUUCUAACACUCAACAAGUGAUAUAUAUAAAGAAAGGUAAAAAUGAUAAGAAGUGAGAAAGAUGUAUGUAGUAAUAUAAAAAGUGAAAGAUAAAAUGUGAGUGAUGAAAGAGUAUGAUAGAAUAAAAAUAGAUGUAAAUAAUUUGAGAUAGAUGGAAAAUAGUAGUGAGAAAGAAAAGAAAAGAAAAAUAAUAAUAUAUGAAGCAUACUAACUCCAAAAUCAUUUAAGGAUGAGCAGAGUGAAAAUAAUACUUUCAGACAUCAAUAUUGCAAAUAUCCCUCCCCCGCACCAAGAACUUACAUUGUCCCCAAUGUAAGAUAAUCAAAGCUCACGUAAAAAUUAAAGCGUAAGGAUAAAAGAUUAAAGGCAAAAACUUCCCUGAAUUGUGAGCUUUGAUCCACAUAACGUCUAUGGGCUUGGCGGAAAUGGUGGGAUAAAUCCCACACUCUCAAAGUGUGCGGCCAAAUUCUGCUCCAUCUUGUUAAGCUUGUGCUCCAUUUUCUCUAAUUAAAUGCUUAAAUGUGGUGCAGAUGUAGAAGGAAUAGUUGGUGGGGCAGCAGUUUCGUCGUCAAACUCGUCGUCAGAGGUAGCACCACUUCUAGCAUAAAGCUUCUUUGGAAGUUGAAUGGGUCCUGGUUCAGUAAACUGAAAUCUCCCCUCCUUGAAUUCGACCACACCUGUUCUUUCAAGCACAGACAUAUCCAAAAAUUCCUUUUUGCAAGCAGGAUGCAAAUCAUUAUUGUCAGGAUCAAGCACACAUAAGUUUAUAGCUAACAGAGUAAUGUAUGGACCAAGAAAUAAAGUCCUAUACCGUUUAAGCACACUUUGAAAUUGAUCUGCUAACCAAAAACCUAAAUUAGGCCUCACAUCAUUUAACAUGCACCAGAUAAAAUAAAACUCAGUUUUAGAGAAAACUCUCGAGUGAUCUUUCUUUCUUAAAAAAUUAUAUGCUAAGAACCGAUGCACACAUUUCAAAAUAGGAUCACGUAAGAAAGAACUCUUUGAUUUACUCGAGUCAUAGGCAUUGUGAUCAACAGAUAAAUUACGCCAAAGAUCAUAAGGCUCAAAAUUUUCGCUAAAGUCACAAGUUGUUCCUAAAUAUGCAUCACUAGAAGAAUAAUCAUCAUCAAUGAAAAAUCUGUGAUAGAUUGUGAAAAAUUUCGUCCCAUUAACCUAAAAUUUAUAACAUCUGGAGUAUGGAAAGUAAAAUCAUUCGGUAUAUUAAAUUGAAAAGUAGCAUAGAACUCCCUAAUCAACUCAACAUAACCUAAACAAUCAACAUCAACAAACUUCCACAAACCAAUCUUAUCUAUCAAAGAAUCAAAAUUAUCCUUAACAUUUAAUUUUUCAAGAGUCGGGUAAUGAAUAUACUUAGCUGGAAGUAUUUUUCGCUUGGAAAUAUCUUUGUACCUCUCUUUCUUUUGUUGAGUCGUGAAUGUGAGGCACCCUCCGAGAUUGGAUUCCGCAAGUGGCAAAACACUCAUGCCUCUUCCAUGUUUCGAUCUUUGUCUCACGGCUUGGCAUGAAUUUGAAACUGUGUUCCAUGGAACUGUAGUGGGAGCGGCAAUCUUGGAUUUCUUUGCGACAGGUUUCUUUUUAGACGUUGAUGACUUGGAAGUUGAUGUUUUCCUCUUCGGCAUUGUUACAGUAAUUUCACUCACGGGUUUCGAUUCACGCGGCUGGAAUGCAGGGCGUGGGCUAGUUGCUUGCGCAGAUUGCUGGUUGCUUGUGCGGGCUGCUGCUCGCGAGAUGCUUGCGCGUGCGCGGUGGUGCUUGAUGGUCGCGUGAUGGUUGCGGAUGAAACUGCGCGCAGGCUACUUGCACGCGGGAUACUGCGCGGCUGAUUACAGCACGAAGCUGUGCGUGGGAUGCUGGUGCUUGCAUUGGUGACUCUGGUACUGCUAGACGCGGGAUGAAGUUGGUUGCGCGCGCGGGAUGCUGAGAUGCGUGCUGACGUUGCGCGGAUGGUGCUCGAUGUUGGUGCUGAGUGCGUGCGUGGCUGGUUGCCGCGGGAGAUACUUGCUAGUUCACGCGGGCUGGUUUGCUACUGGUGUGCUGCAAGCGGCUGGAGAAGAAAACAAAUUCUGGUGAAUUAGGGAUUUUGUGAACAGUGAAAUUUUUUUCUUUCUCAUUUUUUAUUAUUAUUUUUUCAAAUAAAAAAAAUAAAAGAAAGAGAAGAAAAAAAACUCUUUUUUCAUUUUUGUUUUUUUUAAAAUAAUAAAUAAAAUAAUAUUUUUUUUAGUGAUGAAUCACUUGAGAUACUAAAAAUUUCAAAAGUACUUUUUUAAUAAGCACGUGGGCACGCCUUAAAACUAUUUUACUUUAAAAUCACAGAAGUACUUAUUAGUUAAAACGUGGGCACGCCUUACCAAAAAUUUUCUUCUGGCCAAAAUAAGCAAAAACAUUAUUUAAACAAUCUGAAUCAAAAUUAAAAACAAAAGAUAUAACAAAAAUCAAAAUAAAUAAAUCCUUUGGGUUGCCUCCCAAAAAUCGCCUUUGUUUUAUGUCUUUGGAUAGACACAUUCAUGCAUCAAUCUCCAUAAAUGGGACUCUCGAGAGCCACAUCCUCCACAAUAUUCACCGAAAACCUUCAUAAAAAGGUUUUAAGCGUUGAUCAUUAACCUUAAAAACUUUAUCAGAGGUCGGACUCCGAAUCUCAACUGCACCAUGAGGAAAAACAUUAGUAACAAUAAAAGGUCCAACCCAACAAGAACGUAAUUUACCCGAAAAAAGUUUAAGCUUAGAAUGAAAAAGAAGAACUUUUUGACCAACAGAUAACUCCUUUCUCAAAAUCAUUCUGUCAUGAAAUGUCUUCGUCUUUUCCUUGUAAAAAACUUCUUGCACUAUAGGGUUAAUAACAUCCACAAAAAAUGCCGAAUGUUCCUCAUUAGGAUAUUUCAUGGCAUCAUUCAUACUGAAUUCUAUAACCUCUCCAUCAAACUCCAUAGUGAGAGUCCCUUUAUAUACAUCCAUUUUAGUCCUAGUAGUCUUAAGAAAAGGUCUUCCUAGCAAAAUUAGGACAGAAUUAGAGGAGUUAUCCUCUUCCAUAUCAAGUACAUAAAAAUCAGCAGGAAAAACCAACUCAUUAACUUGUACUAAGACAUCUUCUAAUACCCUGUCAGGAUAUGCAUUAGACCUAUCAGCUAGUUGAAUUAUCACGCCAGUUUCUUUUAAUGAACCAACAUUUAAAGAUGAAUAAAUGGAACGAGGCAUGACAUUAAUAGAAGCUCCUAGAUCUAACAUAGCCUUUUCAACUCUAACACUACCAAUUUUACAAAGGAUAGUAAACAUACCUGGAUCCUUGCACUUAGAAGGUAGUUUCUUUUGGAGAACUGCUGAAACAUUCUCCCCCAUGUGAACUUUUUCAUCUCCUCUUAAUUUUUUCUUGGAGGUGCACAGUUCCUUAAGGACUUUAGCAUAUCGAGGUAUUUGUUUUAUAGCAUCUAAUAAAGGAAUAUUUACCCUAACCUUGCGAAAUGUCUCAAGGAUGUCUUUCUCUUGUUCCUCCUUCUUGGAUUUUGUAAACCGGCUUGGAAAAGGAUGAGGUAUCACAAUAAGUAGGGGUUUCGCUCUAGUGGGGUGCACAUCUUGAGAUUUAGGCAUCAAUUCAUUCUUCUCAAGCUCAUCUUCUACAUGUUUUGUCAUUUUCUUACUAGGCUCUUGCAACUCCUUUCCACUUCUAAGGAUGACAACACUAACAUUUUACUUUGUAUUCACCUCAGAUUGUGAAGGCAAUCUCCCUAAUACUUGAAACUCCAGACGGCUCAUUGUAGUCGCCAAUUGACUCAUUUGGCUCUCCAAAUUCUGAAUGCUUGUUGUAGUUGCCUGCUGAAAUUAUUGAGUGUUAGUCGCAAGUGAUUUAACAAUUUCAUCAAGAGAUAUACCUGACUUGGAGUUUGACUGUGGAGGUGCUAAUUGUCUUGGUGGAUACUGUUGUGGGAAUCCUGACGGCCUAACUCCAUAGCUAAAGUUGGGAUGAUCCUUCCAUCCCGGAUUGUAUGCUUGUGCAUAAGGAUCAUACCUCCUCUGAGGCAUGCCUGGAAAUCCUCCAACUACAUUGGCUUGUUCAACGGGUUCUUCUUGAAGUGUAGGACACAUAUUAGUUGAAUGACUCAUAUUGUAAUAAAUGCCACAAGUCUUCACUUGUUGCACAUUAUCUACAACAAACUUUUCCACAAGAGAAGUAAGUUUAUCUAAACGUUGUUCAACAGAAGAAAUAUUUACCUCAUUCACCGUUCUUGAAGUGGCAUCUUGCCUAUUGCCAAAUUGUUGUGCAUUGGCAACCAUAUUUGAGAUCAACUCCCUUGCUUGAGUAGGGGUCUUGUUCACCAACACACCUCCACUAGCAGCAUCUAUCAUACUCCUAUCCAUUAAUGAUAGUCCUUCGUAAAAAUAUUGAAUAAGAAGUUUAUCAGAAAUCUGAUGCUGGGGACAACUGGCACACAAUUGUUUGAAUCGCUCCCAAUACUCAUACAAAGUCUCCCCGGGAAGUUGUCUGAUCCCACAAAUAUCUUUUCUGAUAUUGGCAGCUCUUGAAGCAGGAAAGUACUUCUCGAGGAUCUGCUUCUUCAAACCAUUCCACGUUGUAAUCGAUCCACGAGGCAAGUAGUACAACCAGUCUUUAGCUAGUCCAUUUAAAGAGAAAGGAAAAGCACGCAGCUUAAUCUGCUUUUCAGUCACGCCUUGUGGCCUCAUACUUGAACACACAACAUGAAACUCCUUAAGAUGUUUAUGAGGAUCUUCACCUGUAAAACCAUGAAACUUGGGUAACAAAUGAAUAAGACUAGACUUUAAUUCAAAAUUUACCUCCAAGUCUACAUAUUGAAUACAGAGUGGUUGCUGACUCAAGUCUAGUUCAGCUAACUCUCUAAGAGUUCUUUCUACAGGUGCAGCUCUAUCCAUCACUUGUUCUUCUGAAUCACUAGAUGAUUCAACUAAAUCAAGCACCGUAUAUGUUUCAGAAAGCAAAGGCGACGAGGAUCGUUUCUUAGCUCGCUUCGUCUGCUGUCUCAGCUGGCGAGCUGUGUUCUCAAUUUCAGGAUCAAACGAAAGUGUACCUGUACGAGAAGAAAGAACCAUACACCAAGUAAAACGUAAAGAAGAUUAAAUAAACGACACCAAUCCCCGGCAAUGGCGCCAAAAUUUGAUGGUUGUCGAAGCCAAUAAAAAUAAAUACCUACUCUAAAUAAAUUGUGUAUAGUGAUUAAGUAGGGUAAUGUCCACAGAGAUCGGUAAUUAUUUAAAUCCUCUUAAAAUGUAAAAUGAAAAAUGGGAGAUUUGUUGACAAUAAUAAAAAUUAAAUUAAAAUAACAAGAGUGCAAAUUAAAAUUGUAAUUCAAAUUGGAGAAAGCUCUGGUUGAAGGAAUUAACUCAGCUUGAUUCGACUACUGAUCAUUUAUUCAAAUAUAAAUUAUUACUACUUAUGAAUAGACCGGUUAUAGCUACUGAGACACUCUAAUAGCCAAUCUCUCCUUAACUAGUCGAUAACCAAUGUACGACCGUUGAUUAUUUCCGUAAUCAAUAGACAACCUUAGAUACGAUCAUAUGAUUUAAUCAAUUGACAGCUUGAAAAAUCAGAGAGACCCAAAUCCUAAUCAACAAACGCAUACGAUAGUUCAUUUAAAUUAGAUUGUUUAUUCUCAUAACACAACUCUCUGUUAUGUUAUUUAUCACAAACAUUAAAAUCUUCAUACGAUGAAUCUUUAAUUGACAAUAGAUUAAGUUGAUAAUUAAAUAGUGGUCAGUUAUCUAAUUAACAAACAUAAUCAUGAAAAUAAUUCAGAGAACAAACAAAUACCCAAAAAGCAAUAAAACAAUUAAAGCAUAAGAAAGAUCUCACAGUAGUGAUGAAUCAAAGCUUCAUUAACCUUCAACCAGAAUAAUAGGUUUAGUUCUUCAUAGAGAGAAGAGAAAAAUUUAGAUCUAGGGUUUCUUUCUUUUCUCCAAAAUCUCCCCCUCUUCACAAUAGAUUUCUCCCUUAAAUACUCUCUCUCUCUUCUCCUCUAGAGUUCUUUUUAAAAUAAAAUACUAAUAUCUGAAAUAUUAAAUUUGUAAUUACAAAAAUAACCAAAAAUACAAAACACGUUAAACUAAAAACUGCAUGUCCGUAGUUGACAGCAGGCGCCCACACUUUAUCAACAAAGUUCUUCUGGCACUCAUAAUUUCUCCAAGAGAACAAUCAUCCUUAAACAUCAUCUUGUCGCUCAAUUUUAGCACCAAUCAAUAGAAUUGCACCUACAAAAAUAAAACACAAGUAAAUCACUAUUAUUAAGUGCAAAACAUCGAUAUUAAGGGAAGUAAACAAUGCAAAACUAGUGCAUAAAUUGCACUCUAACACUAGUCAAGUUAUUUUAUGUUAAAAAUAAAGCUUUUCUUUCAUUAUGUUUUUCAAUUUGUGUGGUAUUUUCUAAUGUCUUCCAUGUCCUUGUCAAAUUAUGUGACUUCGUUGUGUAUGCUUGUGAGGACACAACACCUUUCAAGUUUGUGGGGGUUGUGUUUCUGAGUGCAGAUGUGUAUGCUUAUGUUGUGUGUUGUGUGAAGCUCUGUUAUCUAAUGUUUGUGUAUGGAUUUGAAAACCAAAUGAAGAUAAAUUGAGUGUUAUUCAAUAUUUGUGAGAAUGCCAAGUAGAGACAGUUAUAGAUAGAGGUUGAAAUUCUGUCCCGACACUUAGACUUUGGUUGAGUUGUAUGAGACUGCUAGAGCAGAGCCAAAAGAAUAUAAAAGAUCUUAAGUUUGGGGUGAAAAGCAAGUUUGAUUGACUGUGAUAUCUAUGAAAUAAACUUUGGUCCAAUGGCUCCAGUUGCUGAGUAACCAGAUUUGAGUAUGUACCCCAUAUGCAGAGUUGUGUUCAAAGGGAACAAGAGUUAUGAGCAAUGUUGUAGCAUUUUAUAAAAAAUAAAAAAAAGAGAAAAGUAAGACAAUAAUACAAGAAAGUCCUCUGUCUAAGGCAUUGAGUAGCCAAGUCUGUUCAUGAGCCUCAUGUUCAGCCUUGAGUAAAAGAUAUCUCUAGAUAAGAUUAUAUUAUAGAUAUUGCUAUAGCAACUCUGAUCUGUGCAUGGUUUGAGUAAUUGGGUGUCAUCAUUACAAUUGAUUGACAUUCACAUGAAAAAUAAAUGUUACAGUGAGGAGAUUGAAUACUCUCAAGUUUUGAAUACUCUCAAGUUUUCAAUCUUAAAAUCGACACAAUUUGAGCAUGGGAAAUUUAUGAUACCUCAUAUAUAAAUGCAAUUUUGUUACUACUGAAUUACAUGCAAUCUUUUGGUGAUGUUAUAGCAUCUCUAGAAUUCAAUCAAAAGUAGCACACACACAUUGUGGACAGAAGGAAGCUUAAGUCUAGAACUGAUUUACUAUGGUCACUUUACAUGAUUGGGAUUGUGAUAUGAAGGUGGAAGAAUCCUUGCAAAUUUGAUAAAAGUGCUAAAGUUGUGUUGCAUGAUUGUUUGCAUGAAGUGUUAGUAUGUUGUCAUUACUUGAGGACAAGUAAAGGAUUAAGUUUGGAGGUGUAAUAACUCUAUGAAAUGAGAGUUAUUACAUCAAUUCUAGACUUAAAUCAAGAUCACUCAUAGAGCAAAUAAGGUGUUUUUAUUACAUUUUGGUUAUAUUUUGCAUAAACAUUCAUUUUAGUUGAGUCUUAAUAAGUUUUACUUGAAUCAAAAUAAUUUGUGCUCAAAACAGGUGCAUAAUUAUAGGUUUUCAGAAAUCCUUAAUUCAUGAAGGGAUGCUAACACAUUAGACUAGUAAGAGGAGGAAAGAAGAUGGUCGUAAAAGAAGUAAAGCACAAUCGGGAACAAUGCAGUGUUGUAGCUGUUGUUAGAGCAACCAGUGCUGUAGCAAUCUGCGAGCACUAAGGGAGAAAACUUAAGCGCAGGUCAGCUACAGAAUUACAAUCUGCAUGUUUCCUAAUUUAACUCAUGCACGCCCACUAACUUUUAUUUACCCUAGUUUGCAGUAUAAAAGGGGGCGCGCACUACAAAAAACAGCGGCAAGGGAAUUAUCAUCGAGACAUUAGAGAAAAAAAGGAGAAUAAGAUCAGAAUUGAAGAGAGUGGUGUCAGCAGAUUGAGGAAUCCUGCAGAGUUAUAUGGAUUUGCUUUUUACCAUUCUCAACUUAUACUUUUCUUCUUUAUUUGACUGUUCUGAUGUAUUCCGUGAACAAUAUAUUAAUGUUUGUUUUUCUCAUUCAAAAUAUGAACUAGAUUUGCUUGUAGUUGAGUGACAAACAAUCUAAUGGGUACUUGACUGUUCUUAUGUGUUGUUAUGUCAUUGCUGUAGCAUUUUACUCUAGUAGUUAUUAUUAAUAUAAUUGUUAUUUCGGUUGACCAUCCAUUUAAUAGUUCAAGUUAAGAUAGAGCAGCAAAAGGGCAUGUCUUAGCGGAUAUUAUUAGAGUAUUACUUAAUCUUAAUUUUAGUUUCCUGGAUUAAGUUAUCUUGAAUCUCAUAAGGGCUAUACUUGAAGUUAAGAUUUGUGACACACUAGACAUAGGUGCUCACUUUGUAGGGUGGAGAGACUAAAGGGUCAUAAGGCCAUAUCAUAAGUAGAUUAGCAACUAGUCAUUGCUAAUAUAUUUAAGGGUAUGAGAGUUUCAAUACGCGACAGUUGAGGAUGCAGAUUAAUUCUGCCCAGUGCUGCAGCAUUUGUCGUAACAACUGGUGUUAACUUGAUGAAAAAUAGUCAGCCCAUAAGGAGAGUUUGAUCAUUCAACUACCAUAGUCUCAAUUAAAUCUUAGACAUAUUUAAUUUAGUUUAUUUCAUUACGGUAUUGUUUUACUUUAUUCUCUCACAAUCAUCAAUUACGAUAGAAUCCACUUUACGUUUGAUAACUUCAGACUUAAGUUAGUUUGCACUAUUGUGAUUGCUAUAGCAUUUCAAGUGACAUCAAUCCCUGUGGAGACGAUCUUGAAUAUUCAUCACUUUAUUACUUGUUGUGUAUACUUGUACAUUGGCAUUAAUAGUAUUUGAUUAUAAAAUUUACCAACACUGUGCAUACUAAGCCUUAGGAUAAAAUGCAUUAGUAUAUGCAUAAUUUGCAUUAAACACACUUUUGUCAUCCUGCUCCUGCUCUAAUCUAGUUUCAUGAGUGAGUAACAGUGCAUAAGCAUCAUCAAAUUCCAUCCGUGAACCAGUUAUAAAUGCAACAAUAUCACGAUAUCCUGGUCCUAAUCCAUUAAGAAUAGUUAACAUAAGAUCCUUCUUUGUAAUUGGACUACCAGCACUGGCAAGUUUAUCAGCUAUUGCCUUCAUUUUGAUACAAUAAUCUUCAACACUAAGAGCUUCCUUUUUAAGAGUAUUCAGUUCAUAUAUGAGCUGAAGAACUUGAGCCUUAGAUUGAACUCUAAAUAUCUUUUCCAAAGUUCUCUAUAUAUCAAAUGAACUCUCACAAUUGAUAACAAGACUUAAAAUACCUUCACUUAUUGAUGAUAGUAGCCAACCAAGAAGAGUAUGAUCCUGUGAUCUCCAAAUAUGAUAGCUUCAGUUAACAGAAGAUACUCAUCAGGUGCUGAUCUAGUUCCUAUGACAAAAUCCUCUAAACGAUUGCCUCUAAUUGAAGCUAGAACUUGAGAACGCUAGAGUAAGUAAUUUGAUCGAUUUAGCUUAAUAGGAUUAGUAAAAGAAAAAUUGAUUUGAGUAAAUUGAUUUGUGUUGUUUGUUGUUUGAUUAUGAAAGCUUGACUGCUGAUUACUAGAGCUAGCUCUGUAUGGCUCUGAUACCAUGUUUGAAAGAUUGAAAUUUCAAUGAUCAAUCUAUUUGGUUACCAAGAAAAUGUGUUUUGAUUGCUAAGAAAAGUGUAAAGAGGCUUCUGGAAUUUCAUAUUUUUAUUUCUCUCUCUAAUUACAGAAUGAUUACAAAAUGCACUUAUUUAUAUUCAAUUCGUUUUCAGCUAACAGAAGAGAAACACAAACUAAAACAGAAACUUAGUGUGCUUAACUAACUUCUACUGAGCUGGCAUUACAUUCUUCAACUAAUUCUGCUGACUGUAUUCUACUCACAUGUGUGCAACAUGCUUCCAUUCAUUAUGUGCUUCCUUAGCACUCAUGAAUAUAACAAAACCACAUUUUAAGUCUUUAAAAUUGAAGCAUAGGCUAAAAAUUGCAAGAAAUAUAUUGAACAUAACGGAUUUGAUAAGAGUAGUCGACCCGGUGAUUCUUAGAGGCAGACCAUGUGGUAAAAAAAGAUGGAAUAGUGGAAGCAUCUAUAGAGCUUGCUAUUAACUGUCUCUGAAUCAGCAGAGAGUAGGCCAACAAUGGUUCAUGUGGCGAAUUGACUUAGAAAAAUGUAUCAAUUAAUACCUUGAAUUUUCUCUGGAUUAACUAUAACUUAGCUUUCACUAUGUGUUUAAAAUUAAUACACAGGGAGAGAAUUGGAAAUCCCCGUUUUGUUUAUUAGUCUUUCCCUUUCGUAUCUUGUUGAUAUUUCAAAUGUUUGUUUGUUUGUGGAUUUUUUC